GCAAAAAUAGUUCAACUGGUAGAAUGUAACCUUGCCAAGGUUAAAGUUAGGGGUUCGAGUCCCUUUUUUUGCA
rnacentral:tRNA from 1 species